rnacentral:rRNA from 1 species
UACGAAGGGGGCUAGCGUUGCUCGGAAUCACUGGGCGUAAAGCGCACGUAGGCGGCUUGUUAAGUCAGGGGUGAAAUCCUGGAGCUCAACUCCAGAACUGCCUUUGAUACUGGCGAGCUUGAGUUCGGGAGAGGUGAGUGGAACUGCGAGUGUAGAGGUGAAAUUCGUAGAUAUUCGCAAGAACACCAGUGGCGAAGGCGGCUCACUGGCCCGAUACUGACGCUGAGGUGCGAAAAGCGUGGGGGAGCAAACAGG